rnacentral:lncRNA from 1 species
CAGGAUCCUGGAAACACAGAGAAGUCUGAGACAGCUCUCUGUCUUUGAAACACUCUGAUCUUCAUUACCCAUGAUGUCAUCUACAGCCUGGAUCACAGCCCUGAAAACUAUUGUUGAAAGAAAUCAUGUUCACCCACCUCAAGGCCAGUGUAAAACGGCUAAUUAACAACAAGGCAAGCAUGAGAGAGAACCAGUCUUCUGACUCAGUGUGACUUCUGUUAGCCCUGCCAUGAGUGCAAUGUCCAGAAUCAGUAACAGACAGCACUUUUCACAAGCUCCAUGUUAGAGCCAGCAAAGAAGACUUCUUCUAUACAUGAAAACACCACAAAAAAUCCUGGAGAU